rnacentral:rRNA from 1 species
ACGAUGAAGACUGGUGCUUGCACUGGUUGGAUUAGUGGCGAACGGGUGAGUAAUACGUGAGUAACCUGCCUUUGACUCUGGGAUAAGCCUGGGAAACUGGGUCUAAUACCGGAUAUGACAAGGAACCGCAUGGUUUUUUGUGGAAAGGGUUUGUACUGGUUUUAGAUGGGCUCACGGCCUAUCAGCUUGUUGGUGGGGUAAUGGCUCACCAAGGCGACGACGGGUAGCCGGCCUGAGAGGGUGACCGGCCACACUGGGACUGAGACACGGCCCAGACUCCUACGGGAGGCAGCAGUGGGGAAUAUUGCACAAUGGGCGCAAGCCUGAUGCAGCGACGCCGCGUGAGGGAUGACGGCCUUCGGGUUGUAAACCUCUUUCAGCAGGGAAGAAGCGAAAGUGACGGUACCUGCAGAAGAAGCGCCGGCUAACUACGUGCCAGCAGCCGCGGUAAUACGUAGGGCGCGAGCGUUGUCCGGAAUUAUUGGGCGUAAAGAGCUUGUAGGCGGUUUGUUGCGUCUGCUGUGAAAGACCGGGGCUUAACCCCGGUAUUGCAGUGGGUACGGGCAGACUAGAGUGCAGUAGGGGAGACUGGAAUUCCUGGUGUAGCGGUGAAAUGCGCAGAUAUCAGGAGGAACACCGAUGGCGAAGGCAGGUCUCUGGGCUGUAACUGACGCUGAGAAGCGAAAGCAUGGGGAGCGAACAGGAUUAGAUACCCUGGUAGUCCAUGCCGUAAACGUUGGGCACUAGGUGUGGGGGACAUUCCACGUUUUCCGCG